AAUCAACGCUGGCGGCGUGCCUCAGACAUGCAAGUCGAACGCGAAAGUCUCCUUCGGGGACAAGUAGAGUGGCGCACGGGUGAGUAACACGUAGGUAAUCUACCUUUGGAUGGGGAAUAACAACCGGAAACGGUUGCUAAUACCGCAUAAUGCAGCGGCACCUAAUGGUGACAGUUGUUAAAGCGGGGAUCGAAAGACCUCGCGUCUGAAGAGGAGCCUGCGGCGGAUUAGCUAGUUGGUAAGGUAAUGGCUUACCAAGGCUAUGAUCCGUAACCGGCCUGAGAGGGCGGUCGGUCACACUGACACUGGACAUACGGGUCAGACUCCUACGGGAGGCAGCAGUCGGGAAUUUUGGGCAAUGGGCGAAAGCCUGACCCAGCAACGCCGCGUGAA
rnacentral:rRNA from 1 species